rnacentral:sRNA from 1 species
AGCAAAGAUGUUUGAGACUUUAUUUUUCCGAGUCCACACACACCUAAGCAAUUAAGGAGCAAAAGAGCGAGACACAAAGAGGGAUAUUCGUCGCCUGGCAAAUUGCCCGCUGUGCAAAUUGCCCGGGCGAGUGCGAAAGAGACGGGCAACUCAAUCGAAGACACUGCAACAAUUCGAAUUUAAUUGAUGCCAGUCGGCGGCGGCAGCAACAAAAAUCGAAGAGUGUGCGUGCGCUGGCAUUUAUGAGCCGCGCUUCGCCGAAAAGAAAGGCUCCUUUUGCCACCUGGCGAUACGGACAAUAACUGAGCCGUUGAUUGGCACUGAGACCAGGUGCAAAAGCUUCAUUUUCCUCCCUCGGAUUUCCACCUGCCAUCACACUUGAAUCCAGUUAUUAGCCUCCGUCGCCGGCCGUUGAACUUGUUCGCAGUGGGCAACAAGUGGAGGCGAACUUUCCGCGAAAAGUGUGCGAAAAUCCUUCAAAAGUGCAGUGCUUUACCGUCCGCUGUUGAUCCCGGGUGCCCAUGAUAAGCUUGCCAACUGUCCGCCACUUUCGCCCAACCUGCAACCUUAUCCACCCACCCAGCAUCCCGGCAUCCUUGGACUUUUCCCGGCGAUGGUCGAGCAAUUUAAUCAGACAGCAGAGCGCAGAAAAGCUGAUAAUACCGUUAUGAAUAAUUUACCCACAUACGCACACACAUUCGCUGAUGGGAAGUGAAACGCGUUUUAUUAUUGUUUCUGGAGCUGUCUCUUUUGGUUUUAUUUAUAAUUAAUAUAGCUGCGCCAGCGUAUAAUGUAAAAACAUCACAUAAAAGCACUUGUUGUUUGCACUUUUGCUUUCGAGCCUUUAAGAAGCUGCGUGUGAAAUCGUUUUAAUUAGGUGCGGUAACUUGUUGCGGCUGACCAGUGGAAACGGAAACUGCCAUUUGGGAGCGGGGAAUCCCCGAAUGUCACAUUCACCUCAGAUAUUUGCCGCUGUGCCGAUGUGCUUUCUGUCAAAAUCAAUGUGCACCCCAACCGCAAAUAUCAUGAAUGCA